ncrna:Clostridium sp. JC122 RAGATH-18 RNA
CCUGUGGAGUGCUAUAUAAACCAAAGUAGCUUCGGCAAAAUGUAGUACAUUGAAACAGGAA